GCCCAGCUGAUUAUCACAUUGUUUCAGAGGUAACUUGGUGGCUUUGGGCACAGGGCAACGCAUCCUAGAAUCCCCUCCUGCCGUCCGUUUGAAGCUCAGGAGAGCAGGGAGGUUCAGGGGAGAAGAAAGAUAUCAAAUCUUGGCCUUCCAAAGACCCUGGAAUCUGUUCCUCCUGCCCUCCGUAUUGAUCACUGGGCUCGCCUUCCAUCAGCGGAUCAAUGCCUCUGCCGGAAAGAGGAGCUGCCCUUUAGAACGGCUGGGAAAGCGGCUCAGGCGGAACGUUCUUAUUAAUCAAAGCAGGCCCCUCUCGGAAGGACGGCGGCGAGUGGAAACAAAAGAAGGAGGGCUUGCAGGGACACAUCCAGGCGACCGUCCACGUGUCCCUGAAGGUCGAGGAGGAAGCAGAUCUGCCUGUGACCGUGUCAAUCACAGCUCCACGUGCCCCCAGCACGCGCCUCACUUAAAGACCAUAUGGACCCUCUCGUCAGGCUGGGACAGACUUAAAUUAUGACAUUUUUCAUCUUGACUGACAAUUCCUUUCCGCUGGAAGUUGGGGAACGGCCCGGCUAUAUUACCUCUUGCACAAUAAAAUGAAGGAGAUAAAACGGGGAGUCAUUAUUUCAGGAAUGCGGUCUCCGGGAGAUGGCUAAGGACGUCAUUUUUAUUCCCACUGCUCCUGCGUUUUAUUAUUUUAUUAAGAGUUAACUCUCGAUUAUCCACAUAUUUCCCAGUCUGCACCCGUCAUGCAUGUGGGAUCAUACAACACGUGGCCUUUGGUGUUUGGCUUCUUACUUCCCAUCACGGAGCCAAGGUCCGUCCAUGCAGCGGCACGAAGCCGAACUCCGUUCUUCCCAGGGCUGCAGAAACAACACCCCGGCGUGUGGAUUCACCACACUCUGCUUAUCUACGCUUUCGAGGUCGGACCUUUGGGUCAUUUCCAUCUUGGGCUGUA